UUGAAGGUUUAAGCGAAUAUACUCAUCAUCUGCCUAGCCUUUACUAAGUCCUUAGUCCUAAACCUGUACUAAGUCUGUCGUAUUAAGUUAGAAGGUGCAUAAUAGACCACUAGGAGAAAAGUGCGUCGGUGAGUUGAAUUAGGUAUUUUAAUCUCUUGUAAUCAUCUCUAAAAGAUUUUUCGAGGCCAAACCCCCAGAAACUCCACUAAUGUAUUUUCUUAAUUAUUCAUUAUUUAUUUUAUUUAAGAGACUGACAAACAUUAGAAUACUAUUACGAAUUUGCAACAUGCAAAAGCAUGAAUGUGGUUUAUGUUUCGAAAUGCAGACUAAGAUUAGUUUUUGUAUGUAAUAUAAAAAAAUAAAACUGAAUACAACAAUGCCUAUUAUAAAAUCGAAAUAAUAUUUAAAAUUUGGUAAUUAGUAUACCGACUCUGAGUCUUACUGCAUACCUAAUAAGGGAUUUCCCCCAGAUAACCCCUAAAGUUAGUAUAAACAAUACCAUUAUUUCUAAGGUCAAAGGUGUUUAGGGUUCCGUACUGAAAGGGUUAAACGGGACCCACUAAAACUUCACUGCCCAUUUGUCCGUCCAUCCGUUCAUCUGUCACCAGGCUGUAUCUCAUGAACCGACAUAGUUAGACACUUGGCUCCCAUACAACUUGCAAAAAUUGCUGGGAAGUUUGUUCUUCAUCACUUCUUCAUCCCAGCCAUAACACUAGGAAGUGAUGAAAGGGGGGCGUUUUGGGGGUGCUGUCCUUUUGUUAAUUUGACGUGAAAAAGUGCUUAAAACUAGCCUACUUUCAAUAAACGUUUUUGAUUUUGACAACAAACGGUUUAUGUUUGCUCGUUUUAUAAAUAUCAGAAUAAUGAUACCGAACAAUUUGUGCGUGAACCCGACUCGUAUUUGGCCGAUUUGUUGAUAAUAAUAUGAAUAUUAUGAGUAGAUAAAUCUAUAUAAACAACUACAGACGUAUAUCCAUAUCAUUUGAGUUAUAAGUCAAAGUGUGUAAACAUGAAAGUGUAUUUGUUGCUCUGUUUGAUGCUUGUUGCACUUGCAUCGACAGCUUUCGCUGGUCCAAUUACAGCAGGUGUAUGCCCACCUGGGUAUAUACAAGUCGGGCAUCACUGCCUUCCGGAGGACUAUGUCGAUGCUAUAUAAUGAUCAAGAUUUAAAAUUGUUCUGAAAGCAAGAUUUUUUAUUAAAAUACUUUUGAUUCCCA
rnacentral:lncRNA from 1 species